CUACGGGACGCACCAGUGAGGAAUAUUGCACAAUGGGGGGAACCCUGAUGCAGCAACGCCGCGUGGAGGAUGACGCAUUUCGGUGUGUAAACUCCUUUUAUAUGUCAAGAAAAUGACGGUAGCAUAUGAAUAAGCACCCGCUAACUCCGUGCCUGCAGCCGCGGUAAUACGGAGGGUGCAAGCGUUAGUCGGAAUCACUGGGCGUAAAGGACGCGUAGGCGGGUUGGAAAGUCAGGUGUGAAAUCCUACAGCUUAACUGUAGAACUGCACUUGAAACUUCUAAUCUAGAGUAUGGGAGGGGGAGAUGGAAUUAGUGGUGUAGGGGUAAAAUCCGUAGAUAUCACUAGGAAUACCUAAAGCGAAGGCGAUCUCCUGGAACAUUACUGACGCUAAGGCGUGAAAGCGUGGGGAGCAAACAGGAUUAGAUACCCCAGUAGUC
rnacentral:rRNA from 1 species